CUACGGGAGGCUCCAGUGGGGAAUAUUGCACAAUGGACGAAAGUCUGAUGCAGCAACGCCGCGUGGAGGAUGACACAUUUCGGUGCGUAAACUCCUUUUAUAUAGGAAGAUAAUGGCGGUACUAUAUGAAUAAGCACCGGCUAACUCCGUGCCAGCAGCCGCGGUAAUACGGAGGGUGCAAGCGUUACUCGGAAUUACUGGGCGUAAAGAGCGUGUAGGCGGGUUUGUAAGUUGGAUGUGAAAUCCUAUGGCUCAACCAUAGAACUGCAUCCAAAACUGCUUACCUAGAAUAUGGGAGAGGUAGAUGGAAUUUCUGGUGUAGGGGUAAAAUCCGUAGAGAUCAGAAGGAAUACCGAUUGCGAAGGCGAUCUACUGGAACAUUAUUGACGCUGAGACGCGAAAGCGUGGGGAGCAAACAGGAUUAGAUACCCGCGUAGUC
rnacentral:rRNA from 1 species